rnacentral:rRNA from 1 species
GUGAGGAAUAUUGGACAAUGGGCGCAAGCCUGAUCCAGCAAUGCCGCGUGGGUGAAGAAGGUCUUCGGAUCGUAAAGCCCUUUCGACAGGGACGAUGAUGACGGUACCUGUAGAAGAAGCCCCGGCUAACUUCGUGCCAGCAGCCGCGGUAAUACGAAGGGGGCUAGCGUUACUCGGAAUUACUGGGCGUAAAGGGCGCGUAGGCGGCUCUGUUAGUCAGGCGUGAAAUUCCUGGGCUUAACCUGGGGACGGCGCUUGAUACUGCAGGGCUUGAGGCCGAGAGAGGGUGGUGGAAUUCCCAGUGUAGAGGUGAAAUUCGUAGAUAUUGGGAAGAACACCGGUGGCGAAGGCGACCACCUGGCUCGGUUCUGACGCUGAGGCGCGACAGCGUGGGGAGCAAACAGGAUUAGAUACCCUAGUAGUCC